CAGCUAUCCAGGGUACUCACAAAGCACCUGUCACUCACAAAGCACCUUGUCUCCAGGGAUCCUGACAGAUCCUUCUCUUCUCCUUAUGAAAUCAGGAAGAAAUGCCAUCCUCAUCUCAUAUGGAGACAUGAAGCAUGACGAGACGUAAUUGCAUAAGAGCCGAAGACCCAACCUUUGGCAGAGCAAUUGCUUAAAACCUGGAGCUCUGGUCAGCACCUCGUGGGCUGGAGCUGUCUGGAUGAGGCCCAGAAAGUAUUCUCACCUCCAGAGGAGCAGCCUUGUUCAUUCAGUGAACAUCAGAGACUUCCAAUGCUAGUGAGACUAAAGCCCAGAAUAUUAGUCAGGUAUUAUUAAUUCCUGCAGUGCUAUGUGUCCCAUGUACCCCUCACCUUAAGCGCAUAGCUCUGCAUUAAAGGACAGCCUGCUUUAUGGUGAAUGGUGGCAGCAAAACUGCAUCCAGUUCCCUACCGGAGAUGGAGAAGAGGCAUUUCAGUUUAUAGUUGCUCUGGAAACACAUCGGUGCAUUUGAAGAAACAGGGGAUGCCAUUUUCUCCAGUAAAUGUGGCUUACUAGGAAUUUUUUAGAGAUGGCAGAAAACAAAGGGCAGAAUCGCUGAAGUACAACUGACACACGAGGAUCCUACGAGUACUGC
rnacentral:lncRNA from 1 species